GCCCAAGUGGUGGAAUGGCAGACACACCUGUCUCAAAAGCAGGCGCUGAAAAGCAUGCCGGUUCGAAUCCGGCCUCGGGUACCA
rnacentral:tRNA from 1 species